UGGCCACCAUCCUCCUCAUGAAGGGCUGGAUGUCCUUCUGGACGCACUUGAAGUAGGAGCACUGGGGCAGAUACCUCUCCUCUAUGAUGCUUUUUUCAUCAUCACUCCUAUUUGUUUAAUCUCUUCUCUCUGCAAAUCCUAGAGAAAAAUCGUGAAGAUGCUUCAGUGGACAGGAUGGGCUCAAGCUUUGCAGACCAACAGACACAUUGCGUGUGUGUGCCCUGCGGCCGCAGGUUUUUUGUUUGUUUAAAUGAAAUAAGUAACCCUCGCAGUGCUUGAAACCUGAAGGCUGGAGUGUGAAACAUGAGAAUCUGAAAGUGAAACCGACUGGAAGCCAAGAAAGAAACAGAUGAACGUGUUUCCACUGUCCAAGCUGAGGAAAGCCCUGAAAGCAAACAAACACCGUCAAUAUUAAAAUGUGCAAUAGAUUUGAAAUAAAAUUAUUCCAGCAUCAAUCACUGGAAACAGUCUA